CCAGAACAGACAUCUCAGUGUCAGCACCACCAUGAGACUCGCCACCUUGCUGGUUCUCCUGUGCCUGUGCUCUGCACUAAUGGCUUUGGGAUGUGUACCUUCAAGCACAGGACUGCCAUCGAAUAAAACAGAAUAUGUCUAUAUUAUUUGUGACUAUUUGGAUCCACAUAAUGAUACUUUCCUGUAGAAGGAUCAUUUCUCAGGACUACAUUAAGCUGCCCUGAAGAAUCAACCCAAC